rnacentral:rRNA from 1 species
GAUGAACGCUGGCGGCGUGCCUAAUACAUGCAAGUCGAGCGAACAGACGAGGAGCUUGCUCCUCUGACGUUAGCGGCGGACGGGUGAGUAACACGUGGAUAACCUACCUAUAAGACUGGGAUAACUUCGGGAAACCGGAGCUAAUACCGGAUAAUAUAUUGAACCGCAUGGUUCAAUAGUGAAAGACGGUUUUGCUGUCACUUAUAGAUGGAUCCGCGCCGCAUUAGCUAGUUGGUAAGGUAACGGCUUACCAAGGCAACGAUGCGUAGCCGACUUGAGAGGGUGAUCGGCCACACUGGAACUGAGACACGGUCCAGACUCCUACGGGAGGCAGCAGUAGGGAAUCUUCCGCAAUGGGCGAAAGCUUGACGGAGCAACGCCGCGUGAGUGAUGAAGGUCUUCGGAUCGUAAAAUUCUGUUAUUAGGGAAGAACAAAUGUGUAAGUAACUAUGCACGUCUUGACGGUACCUAAUCAGAAAGCCACGGCUAACUACGUG